rnacentral:rRNA from 1 species
UACAGAGGGGGCAAGCGUUGUUCGGAAUUACUGGGCGUAAGGGGCGCGUAGGCGGCCUUCUAAGUCGAACGUGAAAUCCCCGGGCUCAACCCGGGAACUGCGUCCGAUACUGCCUGGCUUGAGGUCCGGAGGGGAGAGUGGAAUUCCCGGUGGAGCGGUGAAAUGCGUAGAGAUCGGGAAGAACGCCGGCGGCGAAAGCGACUCUCUGGUCGGAAUCUGACGCUGAGGUGCGAAAGCUAGGGGAGCAAACGGG